AUGGAAGUGAUGAUUAUUUCCCCAGAUGAUCGAAGCUGAACAUACUGAGCGAUUUUUUUCCUCAUUCUCUUGAGAAUCUAAGCCAGAACUCUGAUCCAU